rnacentral:rRNA from 1 species
GGCGAGUGAAGCGGCAACAGCUCAAAUUUGAAAUCUGGCCCUCGUGGUCCGAGUUGUAAUUUGUAGAGGAUGCUUUUGGCGCGGCGCCUUCCGAGUUCCCUGGAACGGGACGCCAGAGAGGGUGAGAGCCCCGUACGGUUGGACGCCUAGCCUAUAUAUAGCUCCUUCGACGAGUCGAGUAGUUUGGGAAUGCUGCUCUAAAUGGGAGGUAAAUUUCUUCUAAAGCUAAAUACCGGCCAGAGACCGAUAGCGCACAAGUAGAGUGAUCGAAAGAUGAAAAGCACUUUGAAAAGAGGGUUAAAUAGCACGUGAAAUUGUUGAAAGGGAAGCGUUUGCGACCAGACUUUUUCCAGGCGGAUCAUCCGGUGUUCUCACCGGUGCACUUCGCCUGGUUUAGGCCAGCAUCGGUUCUCCUAGGGGGAUAAAGGCAGGGGGAAAGUAGCUCCUUCGGGAGUGUUAUAGCCCCCUGCGUAAUACCCCUCGGGGGACCGAGGACCGCGCUUCGGCAAGGAAGUUGCUGGCGUAAUGGUCGUCAACUGACCCGUCUUGAAACACGGACCAAGGAGUCGAACAUUUGUGCGAGUGUUUGGGUGUUAAACCCUCACGCGUAAUGAAAGUGCGCGUAAUGAAAGUGAACGG